AUGUCAUGAUGAGGACAUUUUCGCAACAGCUCCUUGAAUCGCUCCCAUGCAUAAUAGAGACAUUUUUCGUCAAAUUGUUGAAAUGAGUGAUUUUAUUUUUGAGUUU
rfam:Gossypium hirsutum cultivar TM-1 chromosome 3, whole genome shotgun sequence